UACAGAGGUCCCGAGCGUUGUUCGGAUUCACUGGGCGUAAAGGGUGCGUAGGUGGCUUGGUAAGUUUGAUGUGAAAGCUCAGGGCUCAACCCUGAAAUGGCAUUGAAUACUACUGUGCUGGAGGUUUGGAGGGGGGACUGGAAUUCUUGGUGUAGCAGUGAAAUGCGUAGAUAUCAAGAGGAACACCAGUGGCGAAGGCGAGUCCCUGGACAACACCUGACACUGAGGCACGAAAGCUAGGGGAGCAAACAGG
rnacentral:rRNA from 1 species